AGUGAACGCUGGCGGUAGGCCUAACACAUGCAAGUCGAACGGCAGCACAGUAAGAGCUUGCUCUUACGGGUGGCGAGUGGCGGACGGGUGAGGAAUAUAUCGGAAUCUACUUUUUCGUGGGGGAUCACGUAGGGAAACUUACGCUAAUACCGCAUACGACCUACGGGUGAAAGCAGGGGAUCUUCGGACCUUGCGCGAUUGAAUGAGCCGAUGUCGGAUUAGCUAGUUGGCGGGGUAAAGGCCCACCAAGGCGACGAUCCGUAGCUGGUCUGAGAGGAGGAUGAGGGACACUGGAACUGAGACGCGGUCCAGACUCCUACAGGAGGCAGCAGUGGGGAAUAUUGGACAAUGGGCGCAAGCCUGAUCCAGGCAUGCCGCGUGGAUGAAGAAGGCCUUCGGGUUGUAAAGCCCUUUUGUUGGGAAAGAAAGGCAGCAGGUUAAUACCCCGCUGUUCUGACGGUACCCGAAGAAUAAGCACCGGCUAACUUCGUG
rnacentral:rRNA from 1 species